rnacentral:rRNA from 1 species
UACGUAGGGGGCUAGCGUUGUCCGGAUUUAUUGGGCGUAAAGAGCGUGUAGGCGGCCAGGUAGGUCUGGUGUGAAAACUCGAGGCUUAACCUCGAGAUGUCAUCGGAAACCAUUUGGCUAGAGUCCGGAAGAGGAGAGUGGAAUUCCUGGUGUAGCGGUGAAAUGCGCAGAUAUCAGGAAGAGCACCAAUGGCGAAAGCAGCUCUCUGGGACGGUACUGACGCUGAGACGCGAAAGCGUGGGGAGCGAACAGG